rnacentral:rRNA from 1 species
GAUGAACGCUGGCGGCGUGCCUAAUACAUGCAAGUCGAGCGAACAGACGAGGAGCUUGCUCCUCUGACGUUAGCGGCGGACGGGUGAGUAACACGUGGAUAACCUACCUAUAAGACUGGGAUAACUUCGGGAAACCGGAGCUAAUACCGGAUAAUAUAUUGAACCGCAUGGUUCAAUAGUGAAAGACGGUUUUGCUGUCACUUAUAGAUGGAUCCGCGCCGCAUUCGCUAGUUGGUAAGGUAACGGCUUACCAAGGCAACGAUGCGUAGCCGACCUGAGAGGGUGAUCGGCCAGACGGGAACUGAGACACGGUCCAGACUCCUACGGGAGGAAGCAGUAGGGAAUCUUACGCAAUGGGCGAAAGCCUGACGGAGCAACGCCGCGUGAGUGAUGAAGGUCUUCGGAUCGUAAAACUCUGUUAUUAGGGAAGAACAAAUGUGUAAGUAACUAUGCACGUCUUGACGGUACCUAAUCAGAAAGCCACGGCUAACUACGUG